rnacentral:tRNA from 7 species
GGGCGAUUUCCCGAGUGGCCAAAGGGGACAGACUGUAAAUCUGCUGGCAACGCCUUCGGUGGUUCGAAUCCACCAUCGCCCAUCA